UACGGGGGGAGCAAGCGUUGUUCGGAUUUACUGGGCGUAAAGAGCGUGUAGGCGGCUAUACAGGUCCGCUGUGAAAACUCGAGGCUCAACCUCGAGACGUCGGUGGAAACCGUAUGGCUAGAGUCCGGAAGAGGAGAGUGGAAUUCCUGGUGUAGCGGUGAAAUGCGCAGAUAUCAGGAAGAACACCCGUGGCGAAGGCGGCUCUCUGGGACGGUACUGACGCUGAGACGCGAAAGCGUGGGGAGCGAACAGG
rnacentral:rRNA from 1 species